UCCCGCCGGGGGGAACGGAAAGGGAGCGGGCUCGGGCCCCACCCGGAGCCCCCGGCAGCGCGGGCACUUCCGGUGCGGCAGCCAAUCAGCGCUCAGCGCCCCACGUGACCGCCGCCUGUCACCCGCCAAGAUGGCGCUGUCCAGGGUGGCGGCCCGUGGGGGGCUCUGGCGCCUCGGCCCCGCCGCCCUGAGCCCCCCUCGGGGGCGGAUGCAGCUGCAGCUCGCCCUGGGCGUGUCCAGGUCCCAGGGGCGCUCGCUCUCCUCCCGCGCCGCCUCCCGCGCCCUCGUGGCCGCCGUGGCCGCCGCAGCCCGGCGGGUCAGCGCCAGGUACGAGCGGUUCCUGGAGAGGAGCUUCCCCCGGUUCUAUCUCCUGUACAGCACCUUCAAAACAGGAAUCCAGGCGCUUUUCCUGGAGGCCAAGGAGAUCAGGAGGAUCAAAUCCAAGAUGUCUCAGCAGCGGCUGAGCUCGCAGCAGCUCCCGUACCGGGAGAUGGAGCGGCUGCGCCAGGUAUUUCUUCCCACGGCAGCUCCUGAUCCGUUACUUCUGGACGCCCAAGCAGCAGCUGGAGUUCCUGGACGCGUACGACCGCAUCCGCAGGGACUCGUACCGGGCCGUGCUGCGGAGCCUGGCGCUGGCAGCGCGCUCCCUGCCCGAGCCCCAGCCCCGCCAGCUCCUGCAGCAGCUCUGUGCCCAGGUGCAGGGAGGUGCUCGGCCACACCUGGCCCAGCUCUUGGCCGUCAGGAGUUCGUUCUCUGGGUCUCUGCUGGCGCUGAACAGGCUCCAGGUGGAUCAUGUGAGAGCCCUGAGCCAGGUGCUGUUCCUCACCCCACAUUUACCGGCCUUUUUCCUGCGGCACCGGCUGCGGAGCCACGUCCUGGAGAUCCGACACCUGGACCGUGCCCUGCUGCAGCUGGGGCUGGGGCAGCUCUCAGAGGAGGAGCUGCGAGCGGUGAGGACACCUCAGCACGCCUGGCCUGGCCUGGUGUCACCUCAGGUGUCACCUCAGGUGUCACCAGCACGGCUUGGGGCAGGAGGUUGCUCUUUUGUGGGGAUGUUUUCCAUGCUGGGAUGUGUGAGGGGUUCCUCACUUCUCUUCCCCUCCUUGAGGGGGGUCCUGGGGUGGUGCUGGAGCUCUGUGUGUCCAUCCCUGCCCGUGUCUGUCCCCCCAGGCCUGUUACCUGCGGGGGCUGAACUCCACUCACCUGGGCCAGGCCGAGUGCCGGGCGUGGCUGGAGCAGUGGCUCAGGCUCUCCUGUGAGCUCCAAGCCUCGGAAGCCUCUCUGCUGGCCCACAGCAUGGUGCUGCUGUCCCUCAACUCCAGCCGUUCCCCGGAGUGACAGCGACAGCCCCGAGCCCUGACGGAUGGAGGGGUGACAGCUGCGUGUCCCCCACCCCAGCCUUGUGAUUCCCAGCCCAAAACUCAGCUCUGGCCGAGCUGUGCUGGCCGUUCCCUUCCCUCGGAGCCCUGGGAGUGGCGGCUGUGAGGCCGAGCACAGCCAGGAGAGGUUGUUCCGGUAAUUAACUGCAUCUCAUUAAGGGGGGGAGCUGCUCCCUGCCCUGGGGAUGCUCCUGUGGGAUCUGCCCACGCUUCCCGUGGCAUUGCCUGGAGGGUUUUCCUCUGUUUCUGUUCUCUGCUGCACGGUCUUAAAUGUCACACCCCGCCCUCAGGGGUUGAGAUGAACCCUGGAAUUCCCCCCUGGAGCCUCCCAGAUCCCUGUGGAUCUUCCUGGGAGCUCUGGGGUGCUGCCUUUGGCUGCAGCAGGUGCUCUGGGCUGGGGGCCGAGUGGGGGGUCCCAGGACUGCACCCCCCAAAUUCAGCCUCGUUGAAGCCCCUUAAACCUUCAUUUCCCACUCCAGGGACUUGGAGGGUUAAACCCCAGCCCUGCCCUGCACGGGGAAUUCCUGCUGGCAAAGUGAACUCACCCCAAACUUGGGAGUUUUAUCAAAACCUGAAGGAAUUGGUGUCUCCGGUGUUUUUGGGGGGGCCCUCGGUGGCUCUGUGCCCCCUCCAGGGGUCACAGGGCAUGGGGACACCUGCAAAGUUUCCCUUCUGAAUUUGGGGUAGGAACCAUCCCCUUCCUCACCACUUCCUGCUGCUUUCUGUGAAUUUCUGAGCCCCCCUUGAGGAAUUCACCACUGGGGGGUUUUUAACCCAUUUUCAGCCACAGCUCACGUCUAAUUUACCCAUUUCUUCUCUUUCUCCACUUAAAUAUUCCACUUAAAAAGAGCAUUCUUCAGGAAAAAGGGUGGGCACAGCUGGAAAAAAAAUAAAAUAUUGAGGAGAAGCUUUGGAUUCAGGAAGUUAGGGAAAGAAAAAAUGAAAAAUCCAGUGGGAGCUUGGAGGAAUUGAAGGAGACAUCUGGAUUUUGGGAGGCAGGGGGACUCAAGCACCAGCAUCAACCAGGAUCUGGUGUUUGUGUGGAUUAAAUCCAAUAAAAAUGAUAUUAAAAUGCAAAGAUA